rnacentral:rRNA from 1 species
CCCUUAGAUGUCCUGGGCCCCACGCGCGCUACACUGAGUGUCUGAGAUACGAGUCUGCCUGGUCCGGCAAGGUCUAGGUAAUCGCUAAAAGACACAUCAUGCUUGGGAUAGAUUAUUGCAAAUAUUAAUCUUGAACGAGGAAUUCCUAGUAAGCGCAAGUCAACAGCUUGCGUUGAUUACGUCCCUGCCCUUUGUACACACCGCCCGUCGCUACUACUGAUUGGAUGUUUAAGCGAGGUUCUCGAACUGCUAGCGACUUAGCUUCGGUGAGGUCGCAGUGUGGGAAGUGAACCUAGCUUUGGUGUCUAGAGGAAGUAAAAGUCGUAACA